GUUUUGGCAACUGCCGCAGCAUGGUUCUGGACGAAAUCUUGUUUUAUUUGUGUUUAGUGUUCUAUGUACUGUUGGCAAUGUUGCCGUUUGUACUGGUGUAUAAGUUAAAUUUUUAAAGAGCAUUAUUCCGUCUCUUGUCAAGAGACAUCCUCCCUGAUUCUGUAUACAAAAUCUUAAUCCUAUAACAAAAUCUGAUCCUAUAUUUAAAUCUCG
rnacentral:lncRNA from 1 species